rnacentral:rRNA from 1 species
GACGAACGCUGGCGGCGUGCUUAACACAUGCAAGUCGAACGGAAAGGCCCUGUUUUUGUUUGGAGCUCGAGUGGCGAACGGGUGAGUAACACGUGAAUAACCUGCCCUCUACUGUCGGAUAUCUUCAGAAAACUGGGGAUAAUACUGCAUAGGAGUUCCUGCUGCGUUCUGGUGUUUGGAAAGUUUCGGCGGUUGGGGAUAGGCUCGCGGCUUAUUAGCUUGUUUGUGGGGUAGUGGCUUACCAAGGCUUUGACGGGUAGCCGGUCUGAGCGGGUGACCGGCCACAUUGGGACUGAGGUAGGGCCCAGACUCCUACGGGAGGCAGCAGUGGGGAAUAUUGCACAAUGGGCGGACGCCUGAUGCAGCAACGCCGCGUGCGGGAUGGCGGCAUUUGGUUUGUCAACCGAUUUCUCCUGGGACGAAGCGUGAGUGACGGUAAUGGGGAAAGAAGCACCGGCUAACUACGUG